AGUGAACGCUGGCGGUAGGCCUAACACAUGCAAGUCGAACGGCAGCACAGUAAGAGCUUGCUCUUACGGGUGGCGAGUGGCGGACGGGUGAGGAAUACAUCGGAAUCUACUUUUUCGUGGGGGAUAACGUAGGGAAACUUACGCUAAUACCGCAUACGACCUACGGGUGAAAGCAGGGGAUCUUCGGACCUUGCGCGAUUGAAUGAGCCGAUGUCGGAUUAGCUAGUUGGCGGGGUAAAGGCCCACCAAGGCGACGAUCCGUAGCUGGUCUGAGAGGAUGAUCAGCCACACGGGAACUGAGACACGGUCCAGACUCCUACGGGAGGCAGCAGUGGGGAAUAUUGGACAAUGGGCGGAAGCCUGAUCCAGCCAUACCGCGUGGGUGAAGAAGGCCUUCGGGUUGUAAAGCCCUUUUGUUGGGAAAGAAAAGCAGCAGGUUAAUACCCCGCUGUUCUGACGGUACCCAAAGAAUAAGCACCGGCUAACUUCGUG
rnacentral:rRNA from 1 species